rnacentral:tRNA from 1 species
GCCCAGAUGGUGGAAUUGGCAGACACGCUAGUUUCAGGUACUAGUGCCGCGAGGCAUGGGGGUUCAAGUCCCCCUCUGGGCA